rnacentral:rRNA from 1 species
UACGUAGGGUGCAAGCGUUAAUCGGAAUUACUGGGCGUAAAGCGUGCGCAGGCGGUUUUGUAAGUCUGUCGUGAAAUCCCCGGGCUCAACCUGGGAAUUGCGAUGGAGACUGCAAGGCUAGAAUCUGGCAGAGGGGGGGUAGAAUUCCACGUGUAGCAGUGAAAUGCGUAGAGAUGUGGAGGAACACCGAUGGCGAAGGCAGCCCCCUGGGUCAAGAUUGACGCUCAUGCACGAAAGCGUGGGGAGCGAACGGG